rnacentral:tRNA from 1 species
GGGGAAGUAGCUCAGUGGUAGAGCUCUUGCUUUACAAGCAUGAAGUCCCGAGUUUGAUUCCCAGUGCUCCCA